UUUAGAAUACCAGUUGAUGACUGCUGUGCAGUGGAAAUAUCGAUCAUCUUGCUCGAUAAAACCUCAGUAUAUCAUCAGGAGCAACAGGCCACAUUUUCAGCUAAAAAUCUUCUUUGCUGUUCUGCUGAAGAAAAAUACUCAUCAACAUCUUGGGUGGCUUAAGGAUCUUUGCAGGAUUCAGUCGCAUAUCUCGGAUCUAAGUUCUGCGCAACAUUGGACACAGACUCUGCAU